AUACUUACCUGGCAGGGGAGAUACCGUGAUCACAAAGGUGGUUUUUCCAGCGUGAGGCUUAUCCACUGCGCUCCAGAUGUGCUGACCCCUGCGAUUUCCCCAAAUGCAGGGCACUCCACGGCAUAAUUUGUGGUUGUGGGUUCUGCGUUCAUGCCUUCCCCUG
ensembl:snRNA U1 U1 spliceosomal RNA